rnacentral:ncRNA from 2 species
AAAUGAAUUAGCGUUACAAGUGGGCUCUGACCCGUAAGCGGUCAUGGCGAAAUGGGAUGAACCAUACGUCUGAAUAAGGUGCCGAAAUGUACUAUCACUGAUACCAUAAAGGGAGUCCAUGUAUUUAGACAGCAGGUCGGUGCCCCUAAAAGCAGGUAUCCGCUAAAGAGUGUGUUAAAACUCACCUGCCGAAUACUAGGGCCCCGAAAAUGAAUGGCGCAUAUAGUACUACCGAUCUCAGACAUCAGUUCUAUUGAACUGAGAGUAGGGGGAUGUGGACAUUUUUGUGAAGGUGCAAUGUGAGUUGGACUGGAAGAAUGUCUAUUACAGAUCCUAAUUGAAGUAGCGAUUAUCCAGGCUUGUAUCCUGGGGGCUGAUGAGGAGUAGGGUUUCUGGACAACUUAAACAGAUCCAGAGUUAGUCGAUCCUAAUCUCAAUAAUGGGAGAAAGGGAGUACAGUUGAUAUUCUGUAACUGACAACAGUUCGCGGCAACGCAUACUAUUUUUCUCCGCCAAUCUUAUACCGUUGGUAGGGAUCUCUUUCCUACAUGACAGUACUAAUACCCAGGGAAACUGGUCAUCAGGCGAACUGCGGCGUUCUGCUGGCAAAACAUAGCUUCGGUUAUGUCAAUGGCUAUUGGAUUGGUCCAUGAAGCGAAAAAUAGUUUACUGUGUCACUCGUACCGAUAACCGCAUCAGGUCUUCUAGGUAAGUAGCCUAUGGCCAUUGAGGCAUGAUAGUUCAGGGAAUUCGGCCAAUUAGAGCUGUAACUUCGGGAUAAAGCUUGGCUCUGAUGAAAAUCAGAACCGAUUGUUACGCGGAGAGCCCAACUGUUUAAUAAAAACGUAGUGUCGCGCUGUGGUAGUAUAGCCAGUGAACGCGACAUGAAUCCUGCUCAGUGCUGUGUCUGUUAAUAUGGUUCAAGCCAACGAAGCACCGGUAAAUAGCUGGGGUAACUAUGAGUCUUAUCAAAGUAGCGAAAUACCUCGUCACUUAAUUAGU